rnacentral:rRNA from 1 species
UACGGAGGGGGCGAGCGUUAUUCGGAAUUAUUGGGCGUAAAGGGCGCGUAGGCGGCCUGGUCAGUCGAAGGUGGAAUCCCCGAGCUCAACUUGGGAACUGCCUUCGAUACUGCCGGGCUUGAGUCCGGGAGGGGAGAGUGGAAUUCCCAGUGUAGCGGUGAAAUGCGUAGAUAUUGGGAGGAACACCGAUGGCGAAGGCAGGUCUCUGGGCAUUAACUGACGCUGAGGAGCGAAAGCAUGGGGAGCGAACAGG